GUUUCACUUGGUAGUCCAGGUUGGCCUCUAACUCAUGGAGAUCGUCCUUCCUCAGUCUACCAAAUUCUAGGAUUACAGUCCUGCCAGCCCCAUGGAUGACUCCCUUCGCCCCCAGGGAGUAAAGGAGGAAGCUACCUGGGCAAGAGGGAAGAAGGGAAGAGCAGCCGAAGCUUGUUGUGUAAUUCCUGGAACUCUUCAAAUGUCCGCUGGAUGACCCUUGACUCAGAGGGAAUUACCAUCCGGUUCCGCUCACCUGAGCAGCGGAGAAGCCAGUGGCCUGGAGCUGUUCCGGGCACACGAGGCUCGGCGAGGGCCAGUGCGCUCUGUGUGAGUAUGAAGAAAUAGAACCCCAGCAAGCUGAGUCAGGAGGGGGCAGGAAAAGCUCAGGGCAGAG